GCAUGUGUGCUUGCAUUGUGUCUCUUUCAGUGUGAUUAGGAAUGCGUGUCUAUGUAAGUGAUCCGAAGAUGUCACUUUGUUCUCGUGAAUCGUGAGCAACAGUCUGUGAAUAUGCGUACCUGCGAAAGUCUGCUUGCUUUUGUGCAUUGUGCCUGCGUCUGGACCUGCGUGUCAGCCUGCAUGUGAGCGCAUGUAUGUGCCUUCAGCUAGCAACUCUGUUCGUGUGAACAAAGAUCUAUGGAAAAGGAUGCGUGAAAGAAGCGGGUCGUGGGGGUCUGGGGUCUAUCCCAAAGGCUACGAGCGGAAGGCAUGGAACAACCCAGGAUGGGGCACCAACCCAUCACAACACAAACGCUAAUCAUCCCCAGAGAGGAAGCCAGAGGCAACAGUGGCAAGGGAAACCUCGCUAAAAGGAAG